ACUCCUCUAAAGCCAAGUCUCAGGCUUAUCCAUGCCAGGAUGCAUGCACAAGCCUUGACACUUGCAGUGCUGUCAAGUGCAGCAAUCUAUCAUUACUAUGANNNGCAAGGAGAGAAUAAUGCUGCUGCUGCUUCUGGAGCUACCAACUCUCUGCCUAACUAAAUGAUAACAAGUCUGCUCUACUAUUUUAUGUUAAUCUUGAGGGGGC
rnacentral:misc_RNA from 1 species